rnacentral:rRNA from 1 species
CGCAAGUUGCGCCCGAAGCCAUUAGGCCGAGGGCACGUCUGCAUGGGCGUCAC